CUUUUUCAGAUCAAGAAAAAGGAUCAUCUAUAUUCAUUGGGAGAAAGAAAAGAAAAAGUAAUCUUGAGAGCAAAGACUUUAUCCUCAUGAACAAUCAUUGAAUAUCCAGAUUCGUGAGAAGACUUUGAUCAAGAUUGAAGACUUUUGUUUUGUACUUCUUUUAUUCAUUCUGUAACAAUACUUUGAAACGAAACGAACGUUAAAAACCCAGCUAGAAACUGGUGGCUACUUUCUUGGGUGAGAGGUCUCAACAAGAAAGAG
rnacentral:lncRNA from 1 species